rnacentral:tmRNA from 1 species
GGGGAUGAUCGGUUUCGACAUUGCCUGCAAAACUGCGAGAAGCGGGUCGAGGAUUCAGGGUUAUCUCGUAAACGAUCUCUGAAAACAAUAAGUGCGAAAUCUAACCGCGCUGACUUCGCUCUUGCUGCAUAAGCAAAAGCACUAAAUGAAGUCCGUCGGUCCGGGGAUGCUCUCUACCCGGGUGCCGGCGCAAUUUAGAGAGAUUGCUGCGUAGUUACGCCUGAGGGCUACGCGGGACUUGAACUCGGGCUGGGCUCGUUGACCUAGGUGCUUGUGGCAAAGGUCAGAGCCGAGUAGAACGUCUGCACAAGAUACACCCGUAGAAGGCGUGGAAUUACAGCAGUGGACCGGGGUUCAAUUCCCCGCAUCUCCACCA